GACGAAGGGGGCUAGCGUUGUUCGGAAUUACUGGGCGUAAAGCGCGUGUAGGCGGUUGUCCAAGUUGGAUGUGAAAGCCUUGAGCUCAACUCAAGAAAUGCAUUCAGGACUGGAUGACUAGAGGACCGGAGAGGAUAGUGGAAUUCCCAGUGUAGUGGUGAAAUACGUAGAGAUUGGGAAGAACACCAGUGGCGAAGGCGGGUCUCUGGGGCAGUAACUG
rnacentral:rRNA from 1 species